UACGGAGGAUGCGAGCGUUAUCCGGAUUUAUUGGGUUUAAAGGGUGCGUAGGCGGACGCUUAAGUCAGCGGUAAAAUUGCGGGGCUCAACCUCGUCGAGCCGCUGAAACUGGGUGUCUUGAGUGGGCGAGAAGUACGCGGAAUGCGUGGUGUAGCGGUGAAAUGCAUUGAUAUCACGCAGAACUCCGAUUGCGAAGGCAGCGUACCGGCGCCCAACUGACGCUGAAGCACGAAGGCGUGGGUAUCGAACAGG
rnacentral:rRNA from 1 species